rnacentral:rRNA from 1 species
AGGGCGUAUGGUGGAUGCCUAGGCUCUCAGAGGCGAAGAAGGACGUGAUAAGCUGCGAAAAGCUCCGUUUAGGUGCAAAUAACCUUUGAUGCGGAGAUUUCCGAAUGGGAUAACCCAAUAUGUUGAAGACAUAUUAUACCGUAAGGUAGGCAAACGCAGGGAACUGAAACAUCUAAGUACCUGCAGGAGAAGAAAACAAACGUGAUUCCCCCAGUAGCGGCGAGCGACCGGGGAUAAGCCCAAACCGUUAUUGUUUCGGCAGUAGCGGGGUAGUAGGACUGCGACAUUGAUGAAAUAAAUGAAAUGGAACACCUUGGAAAAUGUGAUCACAGAGGGUGAUAAUCCCGUACAUGCAAGUUUAUGAAUCAUAGCAGUAUCCUGAGUAAGUCGGGACACGUGUAAUCCUGACCGAAUCCGCCGGGACCAUCCGGCAAGGCUAAAUACUCCUGAGAGACCGAUAGUGAACCAGUACCGUGAGGGAAAGGUGAAAAGCACUUCGAACAGAAGAGUGAAAUAGUCCCUGAACCCAUACGCCUACAAGCUGUCGGAGCCGCUUCGUGCGGUGACGGCGUGCCUUUUGCAUAAUGAGCCUACGAGUUACUCAUCACCAGCGAGGUUAAGUACUUCAGGUACGUAAGCCGAAGCGAAAGCGAGUCUGAAUAGGGCGUCAAGUUGGUGGUGGUAGACGCGAAACCUUAGUGAUCUACCCAUGGGCAGGGUGAAGGUUUGGUAACACAAACUGGAGGCCCGAACCGGUAAACGUUGAAAAGUUUUCGGAUGACCUGUGGGUAGGGGUGAAAGGCCAAUCAAACUGGGAAAUAGCUCGUACUCUCCGAAAUGCAUUUAGGUGCAGCCUCUGUUGUUUUGUUCUAGAGGUAGAGCUACUGAUUGGAUGCGAGGGCUUCACCGCCUAUCAAAUCCGGCCAAACUCCGAAUGCUAGAACAUGAAGACAGGGAGUGAGCCAGCGGGUGCUAAGGUCCGUUGACGAAAGAGGGAGAACUCAGACCAUCAGCUAAGGUCCCCAAUUAUAUGCUAAGUUGGAAUUAAAACGGGGUGGGACUGCUUAGACAGCUAGGAUGUUGGCUUGGAAGCAGCCAUUCAUUUAAAGAGUGCGUAACAGCUCACUAGUCGAGCGGUCCUGCAUGGAUAAUACGCGGGCAUAAGCAUAUAACCGAAGCUAUGGGAUUGUAGAUGAUACAAUCGGUAGGAGAGCAUUCCAUUCAGCGUAGAAGCAGUAUCGUGAGGUAUUGUGGAGCGGAUGGAAAAGCAAAUGUAGGCAUAAGUAACGAUAAUGCGGGUGAGAACCCCGCACGCCGAAAGAUCAAGGAUUCCCCGGCAAUGUCAAUCAUCCGGGGGUAAGUCGGAUCCUAAGGGUAAGCCGAGUGGCGAUCCCGAUGGCAAACAGGUUAAUAUUCCUGUACUGAUCAUAACUGCGAUGCAGCGACGCAGAGGUGACACUGCUGCGUACUGACGGAAUAGUACGUUGAAACCCGUAUUCUUUGAUACCGGUAGUGAAGCACGCCGGUAGAGAUGAAAGGUGAUAGUACCGCAAUGCUUCGGUUGCGCGGAUAAUGCAGGUAAGCUGACUGCCAAGAAAACCUGCUAAGCUUCAGGUAAUGAUCAUCCGUACUGUAAACGGACACACGUGAUCAGGUAGAAAAUACUAAGGCGCUCGAGAGAUUCAUGGUUAAGGAACUAGGCAAAAUGGUCCUGUAACUUCGGGAUAAAGGACGCUCUUGUGAAAGAGCCGCAGAUAAUAGGCCCAGGCGACUGUUUACCAAAAACACAUGGCUAUGCUAAUUCGCAAGAAGAUGUAUAUGGCCUGACACCUGCCCGGUGCCGGAAGGUUAAGAGGAGAGCUCAGAGGCAACUCGAAGGUUUGAAUUGAAGCCCCGGUAAACGGCGGCCGUAACUAUAACGGUCCUAAGGUAGCGAAAUUCCUUGUCGGGUAAGUUCCGACCUGCACGAAUGGUGUAACGAUCUGGACACUGUCUCAACCGUGAGCUCGGUGAAAUUGUAGUCCCGGUGAUGAUGCCGGGUACCCGCAACGGGACGAAAAGACCCCGUGAACCUUUACUAUAGCUUAACGCUGAAUUUGGGUACACAAUGUGUAGGAUAGGCCGGAGGCUUUGAAGCGGGCACGCCAGUGUUCGUGGAGCCGACGUUGAAAUACGGCCCUUUGUGUAUUUGAGUUCUAACCCUGCGAAGGGGACACCGUUUGGUGGGUAGUUUGACUGGGGUGGUCGCCUCCAAAAGCGUAACGGAGGCUU